rnacentral:rRNA from 1 species
GACGAACGCUGGCGGCGUGCCUAAUACAUGCAAGUAGAACGCUGAAGGAGGAGCUUGCUUCUCUGGAUGAGUUGCGAACGGGUGAGUAACGCGUAGGUAACCUGCCUGGUAGCGGGGGAUAACUAUUGGAAACGAUAGCUAAUACCGCAUAAGAGUAGAUGUUGCAUGACAUUUGCUUAAAAGGUGCAAUUGCAUCACUACCAGAUGGACCUGCGUUGUAUUAGCUAGUUGGUGGGGUAACGGCUCACCAAGGCGACGAUACACAGCCGACCUGAGAGGGUGAUCGGCCACACUGGGACUGAGACACGGCCCAGACUCCUACGGGAGGCAGCAGUAGGGAAUCUACGGCAAUGGACGGAAGUCUGACCGAGCAACGCCGCGUGAGUGAAGAAGGUUUUCGGAUCGUAAAGCUCUGUUGUAAGAGAAGAACGAGUGUGAGAGUGGAAAGUUCACACUGUGACGGUAUCUUACCAGAAAGGGACGGCUAACUACGUG